rnacentral:rRNA from 1 species
UACAGAGGGUGCGAGCGUUAAUCGGAAUUACUGGGCGUAAAGCGCGCGUAGGCGGCUUUGCAAGUCGGGUGUGAAAUCCCCAGGCUUAACCUGGGAACUGCAUUCGAGACUGCAUUGCUAGAGUAUGGGAGAGGGAAGUGGAAUUUCCGGUGUAGCGGUGAAAUUCGUAGAUAUUAGGAAGAACACCAGUGGCGAAGGCGGCCUACUGGUCCGGCACUGACGCUGAGGUGCGAAAGCGUGGGGAGCAAACAGG